rnacentral:rRNA from 1 species
GACGAACGCUGGCGGCGUGCCUAAUACAUGCAAGUCGAGCGAAGCGGCGGAUGGGUGAGUAACGCGUGGGUAACCUGCCCUUAAGUCUGGGAUACCAUUUGGAAACAGAUGCUAAUACCGGAUACUAAAGGAUGGACCUGCGAUGCAUUAGCUAGUUGGUAAGGUAACGGCUUACAUAGGCGAUGAUGCAGUGCUGGAUUGAUGGACUGAUCGGCCACCUUGGGACGUAUACACGGCCCAAACUCCUACGGGAGGCAGCAUUAGGGAAUCGUCCACAAUGGGCGGAAGGCUGAUGGAGAAACGGCGCGGGAGUGAACAAUGUUUUCAGAUCAUAAAGCUCUGUUGUUGGUGAAGCGGUAAUCAACCAGAAAGUCACGGCUAACUACGUGCCAGCAGCCGCGGUAAUAC